rnacentral:rRNA from 1 species
GACGAACGCUGGCGGCGUGCUUAACACAUGCAAGUCGAACGGUAAGGCCCUUCUUUUGUUGGGUGCUCGAGUGGCGAACGGGUGAGUAACGCGUGAGUAACCUGCCCUGGACUUUUCUAUAACUUCAGGAAACUGGGGCUAAUACCGGAUAGGAGCUCCUGCUUCAUGGUGGGGGUUGGAAAGGUUCGGCUGUUGGGGAUGGACUCGCGGCUUAUCAGCUUUUUCGUGGGGUAGUGGCUUACCAAGGCUUUGACGGGUAGCCGGCCUGAGAGGGUGACCGGCAACAUUGGGACUGCGAUACGGCCCAGCAUCCUACGGGAGGGAGCAGUGGGGAAUAUUGCAAAAUGGGCGGAAGCCUGAUGCAGCAACGCCGUGUGCGGGAUGAAGGCCUUCGGGUUGUAAACCGCUUUCGCCUGUGACGAAGCGUGAGUGACGGUAAUGGGUAAAGAAGCACCGGCUAACUACGUG